rnacentral:rRNA from 1 species
GUAUUUAGCCGGUGCUUCCUCUACAGGUACCGUCAGAUCUUCGUCCCUGUUGACAGUGCUUUACAAUCCUAAGACCUUCAUCACACACUCGGUAUUGCUCCGUCACGCUUUCGCGCAUUGCGGAAGAUUCUCG